AACGACGGCCUCACCUCACCAAAUCCCCACCCCGGGCACCCCCCCGCCCCUUCCGCCCCGCCGCCGCUCCGCGCCGUCACUUCCGGCCGCCGCGCCGCUGCCGCCAGGAUGAUCCCGCCGGUGCAGGUCUCGCCGCUCAUCAAGUUCACCCGGUACUCGGCGCUGCUGGUGGGGAUGAUCUACGGCAAGAAGCGAUACGACUACCUAAAGCCUAUUGCUGAAGAAGAGAGAAGAAUAGAGGCUGAAGAGAAAAAGAAACAGGAAGAACUUCAGCGGAUUGCAAAAGAGCUUGCAGAAGCAAGUGAAGAUUCCAUAUUGAAAUGAACAAAGGAUUGGAUAUUAAUUUCCCACAUGGAGAUACAUGGCUAGGCCCUGAAUUGUUCAGUGUUUGGUGGGCUCUGCAUGUUAUUCUAUCAAUAAAGGUCUUGCAACACUUCAAUUGGUAUCUUUUGAGAGAAUUGCACAGAACAGCUGCAAAAAUAACUUACAGAAUGUGACAGGAAGCAUUUGUCACAAGCUGGCCAUUGCUGCAGCUGAAACACCCUGUUGUAUUCCUCCAGCAACAGCCAAUCACUACACCUACUACUCGUAAGUAAUAUUUGUGAUCAGAAAAUACAUACAAUUUAAUGUAUAUGGGCAUGUGGGGGAGGCUGACAUGGCACUGGCUGCCUGAACCAGCUUAUUAAAUGGCUUGACUGGGGAGUUGCUGCCAUCUAUUUUCAGCGUUGUUAUCACAGUAGAUUAUUGCAUGAUUCUUGCAUUUGACAGUGCAGUCAAACUUGAUGGUGAUUUGUUAAGUUAUGCUGAGGAGAUCUGAAGAAUUGGUGCUGGCUCACUAGUCGGGUAUUUUUAAACGUAUCUUUUCAGAUUUAACAGAGGGUCAAAUGUUCCCCAAAACUAUGAACAAGUUACCGUUAAAUUGUAAUCUGCCGCUUUUAUAGGAAGUGACUGGCAAUGCAGGGGACUGAGAUUUUAAAAAGUAGUGGCCUUUAACGUGAAAUUAAGUCUGCCAUUAGCAUGUAAGCUGCUAAGGUACCUCCUCAGCUGUACGGACCUCAGAUACCCCAGAAGGUAAAAAGCCUAUCCUGGUAGAUUGUAGUGGUGGUCUUGGGUUUUGUCACUGUAAGUAAUACAAAUAACUCGGACAUUCAGGGGGCCUUGUUUCUAACUUGGACGAUGGCUAGCUUCCUUCUGACAUUGCAGAUCAGACAGCGGAAGCGGUGAUUUCAGGUCUAAAUCUCUCCCCAGUGAUGGCAGUCUUUCAGGAAGCGUCAUCAUAUGUUUUAUUAUAAUUGCUGUUGAUAAAUACACAGCCUCUUCUAGAUUAUACUUUGAAAGAAAUAAAUCCUUAAACUGCCAGUGCACAUUCUGAACUAAUAAAGCAGUCCUACGGCGUAUACGGGAAUGAAGUAUAACAAAAUUGAAUUUGAAUUGGAAGUGUAGCGUAUCCAGUAACUGCAGGGAAAAGGGGUUAAAAUGGGGUAUUUUCAAGGAAAAAAGAGGAAUAGGAAAAUCAGCUACAUGUCAUGAUUAGGCUUUUGGUUUUUUUACUUGAAUGUAUAUCUCAUGGUAUUGAAAUUACAAGGUAAUGCUUAUGAAAGUAAGGAUACAGACUGGCAGUUAGUUUCAAAUCCUCUUUCUGCAACACAGAAAUAAUGCAUCAUAUCCUGAACUCUCAGGUUAACAGGAUGUGUUGCACACUUAAAAGCCAAUAUUUUUCCAGUAAUUUCAGGAGCUGUAAAUCAGAUCUGAUUUGUCAGAAAACCUAAUGUUUUUAAAACACGGGCGCUGAAUUCAUGUCUGUGGUGCUAGCCUGUAAGCUGUCAAAUGGUGGUAUGUGAAAUAAGGGCUUCUGAAAAACCUCUGAAACUCAACACUUGGGAUUCACCUGUGACUGUGCUUGAGCACAAUGUGAUUAUACACAUUAUAUUUAUAUGUCCUUUUACAUUGGGUUGAAUUCCCAUGUGGGUGGGAAAGGUGCCACAAGCCUCACUACAGCUGCCCCAUGGUGACCAAGUUACUCCUCUGCCACCCCAUUCUGGCCAGGCAAUAGAUAAUUACCAGGUUUGAGACAAAAAAAGCCAAUGCUAAACAGCUAUAGUAAGUUUUAACACUAUUUACAGCAAGACUAAGGUACCUGUGAAGAUCAAGGGGUGAACCGUUGUCCUCAGCUGAGGGAAAUUCUGGGAAAUACAGCCUCAUACUCAGAGGUGCACAGCAAAAGGAAGGUGCUGCAGGCAUGCGUUGCAGAAGUACAGGGAAAAUUCUGACAAUGUGGUCAGACUUCAUUUUAAUAACGGUCCAGACACAAUUUUUUUUCUUUGCUUCUGUGGCAGGCUUGGGUACUCCAUUUCAUACACAUGUCCUAUGAAUAGAAUUUGUGCAGGUGUUUGGGUCCAAGGCUUCCUUUUUUCAUUUAUAAAACACAUGGAAGAGAGGGGCAAGCCUAUGGAAAGUAGAGGUGAUCCAUCUGACUGUACAUGCAGUUUUGGAAGCAGUCAUCCAAAGGUGCUGAAGGAAACCAUUAGGCUUUGCACCUGUGCCAGACUAAGAGCACUUACGAGGUCAGGUGGUGGUGCUAGGGGGUGUAUGAUCAGUCUGCUUGUGGUUGAAGUUCAGUCCCAGUGUUUAGCCCCUGCAAUCCUGAGGAAGCUGAUGGAAUUGCCUCUUGAGGAAGUGGGGAAUGUGGGAACAGAUUGCACAUACAUCUAAAGACUGCUGUGAAAAUGAUGGGCAUAAAUUCUUUUCCAGACUGCUAGCAACAAGACAAAAAAUGGGGUGGAUGUAUUAAAUAACCCUUUGAUAAGUAUCUGCUGUCACUGAGAAAUAAGUGAGGCCACUCACUUGGCCACAUGACUGCACACCAAGCCAAGUAUUUGCCUGCAAACUUGAUGAAAGUUGUGUUUGGCAAUAGAUUUUGAGAUAAUUGGAGAAAGAGCUGUGUUAUUUGAGCCUGAGGCUGCUGCAACCCCCAGCAGCAAGAGCAACCACAACUUGAUGAAAGGUGUAGAGGAGAAAGCAGUAAAGACAAGAGUAUCCAACCCCAGGUGGCAUUACACAAGUGUAAGGUGCCAAGGAAGAAAGCAGGGAGAAAAAGAGACGGAUAGCUCAGUCAACGGACAAUUUUUUCUUGGAAAGAGGUAAAAAAUGAAGCAGAAAGUUAACUUGAAACCUGUUGCUUGAAAAUGCAAAGAUGAGGAAGGAGGCAGCAAGAAAAUGCCUUUCCUUUCAUGUUAUGAGGGGAAAGAUCCUCAUGUUUGUUUUGUGGUUUCCCUCCCAGCA